CAACAGGCAAGGAAAGGCAGAGCCAACAGGGAACUCAGGAGGCAGGGGCUGGAUCCCCAGGACCUUGGGUUUUGUUCAGUUUUUAAAUGACAACAGAAAGCCACUGAGGGUUUUUAGCAGAGGGACGGCAUGGUCUGAUCUACAUUUUUCAAAAGAUCUGGAACAGUAUGAAAAAUGAAUUGGAAGAGGUUAAAAUAUCCUCCCCAGCAUCAUGCCGACUUGUCAAAGAGUGAGAAACAAUCCUCCCGGCCACCCCCGAACAGCACUCAGGAAGCUAACACAUGACUUGGCCAUCAAUUCACUUCAUUUUUCCAGACCGUUAGGGAGCACCUAGUAUGUACCAGGCACUGUGAUAAAUACUGGAGGCACUGAAGUGAAGGAGACACAGGCCCCUUCCUCCAGGAACCUAAAAUCUCCACUGUCCAAGAGCAGCCAGCCUGGCACAGGUUACCAAGGUGCCCAUCAGCGACGAGUGCCUCACUGUGGCCUCAACCAUGCAGGACCUACUCCACCGUGGCACGCAAUGGGGGAGAAUGAAUGCGUAGGUGUGUAAG